rnacentral:rRNA from 1 species
GUCCACGCCCUAAACGAUGUCUACUGGUUGUUGGGGGUUUGACACUCUCAGUAACGAAGCUAACGCGUGAAGUCUACCGCCUGGGGAGUACGGCCGCAAGGUUAAAACUCAAAGGAAUUGACGGGGACCCGCACAAGCGGUGGAUUAUGUGGAUUAAUUCGAUGCAACGCGAAAAACCUUACCUACCCUUGACAUGUCCUGGAGGCCCCUGAGAGGGGGCUGUGCCCGAAAGGGAACGGGAACACAGGUGCUGCAUGGCUGUCGU